rnacentral:rRNA from 1 species
GUGCCAGCAGCCGCGGUAAUACAGAGGUCCCGAGCGUUGUUCGGAUUCACUGGGCGUAAAGGGUGCGUAGGCGGCAAGGUAAGUUCGAUGUGAAAGCCCCGGGCUUAACCCGGGAAUGGCAUUGAAUACUCUCUUGCUUGAGGGUCGGAGGGGAGACUGGAAUUCUCGGUGUAGCAGUGAAAUGCGUAGAUAUCGAGAGGAACACCGGUGGCGAAGGCGAGUCUCUGGACGACCCCUGACGCUGAGGCACGAAAGCUAGGGGAGCAAACAGGAUUAGAUACCCGGGUAGUCC